rnacentral:lncRNA from 1 species
ACCCAGACUGACUUGUUCACUUGUGGCAAAUGUAAAAAGAAGAACUGCACUUACACACAGACCCAACUCCUUCAGGAUUCCAUUGUAUACUCAAGACCAGCUGAGACAUCCAGGCUGAUGGACUAAGCAACUACUGGAUUCUUGGGACAUCUGUGACCAGGCCCUCUACUGUCUAUUCAUACUAAGUAGUAGGGAAAGCAUUCCCUAGUGGACUCCCUUUGUAAACUGUGUAAACCCUCAAGGCAGGUAAGUGGCCAGCCCAGGCCCAAGGAACUCCAGCAGCCAGGAUCUGCCCCCCCGAAGACAGCCUUCAAGGUUCCAAGAAUCCUUUUCUGAAAGCUAUAACUUUCAUUUCCAACCCUGAGGCAGUAGAGUGGCCAGGUCCCAUCUUAGAAGAAAAAAAGAAGUCCCACCAAUCUUUGAAGAGGACAACCUGUCAAUCCGUGAGCUCCAUCAAGCUCAGGAUUGAAACCCCACCAAUCCUCUCCUUGGAAAGUGCUACCUCCAAGAAAUCCAACAUAAAUAAGUUUUGCCUACUGCUCAGCUUCCUGCUGUCUUCUCACCCAAGCAGAAGCAGCACCCUACCUAGGUUGUUUCCUCCCAAUAAAUAUCUUGUGUGAGGU